GAAAAGAAACCMACUGGGAUUGCCCUAGUAACGGCGAGUGAAGCGGCAACAGCUCAAAUUUGAAAUCUGGCCCUCUCCGGGGGUCCGAGUUGUAAUUUGCAGAGGGCGCUUUGGCUUUGGUAGCGGUCUAAGUUCCUUGGAACAGGACAUCACAGAGGGUGAGAAUCCCGUACGUGGUCGCCCGCCAUUGCCGUGUAAAGCCCCUUCGACGAGUCGAGUUGUUUGGGAAUGCAGCUCUAAAUGGGAGGUAAAUUUCUUCUAAAGCUAAAUACCGGCCAGAGACCGAUAGCGCACAAGUAGAGUGAUCGAAAGAUGAAAAGCACUUUGGAAAGAGAGUCAAAUAGCACGUGAAAUUGUUGAAAGGGAAGCGCUUGCAGCCAGACUUGCCCGCAGUUGCUCACCCAGGCUCUUGCCUGGGGCACUCUUCUGCGGGCAGGCCAGCAUCAGUUUGGGCGGCUGGAUAAAGGCCUCUGUCAUGUAUCUUCCUUCGGGAUGACCUUAUAGGGGAGGCGUAACACGGUCAGCCCGGACUGAGGACCGCGCAUCUGCUAGGAUGCUGGCGUAAUGGCUGUAAGCGGCCCGUCUUGAAACACGGACCAAGGAGUCUAACAUCUAUGCGAGUGUUUGGGUGUCAAGCCCGGGCGCGCAAUGAAAGUGAACGGAGGUGGGAACCCCCUCUGGGGGCGCACCAUCGACCGAUCCUGAUGUCUUCGGAUGGAUUUGAGUAAGAGCAUAGCUGUUGGGACCCGAAAGAUGGUGAACUAUGCUUGAAUAGGGUGAAGCCAGAGGAAACUCUGGUGGAGGCUCGCAGCGGUUCUGACGUGCAAAUCGAUCGUCAAAUUUGGGCAUAGGGGCGAAAGACUAAUCGAACUAUCUAGUAGCUG
rnacentral:rRNA from 1 species